AUGCCGUCUGAAGAUUCGUUGUCGCAGCUUUCGCACAGGGGGACCCGUUCUCUCUCUUUCGGCUGUGGGGAAAGUCCCCGGAGACCACAGAGCAUAUCCUCAUCCAAUUAACGGAAAGCGACCGCCUCUAAGCACGACGGUACUGGAUCAAGGAUGGCAGGGAUCACUUUGUUCUUUCUGGUUUCGCUCCCAGAGAAGCAUCUACCUCGUCACUCUGUCGCCUACAUUCUGAAGACUGCAUUCGGCCAAGUCAUCAAAUGGCGCGAAGAUAUGAGCGUAUUUGGUGUUCGAAUGACCGGUUGGAAGAUGGGCAAUCUUGUUGCUCAUAGAUAUAGUUAUGCGAUUGUCGACCUGGUUGGCUUGUCAGCCGGUCUUCAACUCAAUGGGGCUCACUAUCAUUCGGCA
rfam:Moniliophthora roreri MCA 2997 sctg_0036_0003, whole genome shotgun sequence.